CCCUUAGAUGUUCUGGGCCGCACGCGCGCUACACUGAUGCAUUCAACGAGUCUAAAACCUGCUCUGAUAGGGGUGGGUAAUCUUUUGAAUGUGCAUCGUGAUUGGGAUAGAUGAUUGCAAUUUUUCAUCUUCAACGAGGAAUGCCUAGUAAACGCAAGUCAUCAGCUUGCAUUGAUUACGUCCCUGCCCUUUGUACACACCGCCCGUCGCUCCUACCGACUGAAUGAUCCGAUGAAUAUCAUGGAUUGAGGAUUAUAGCAGGUUCGCCUGUCUUGAUCUUCGAGAAGUGAAGUAAAUCUUAUCAUUUAGAGGAAGGAGAAGUCGUAACA
rnacentral:rRNA from 1 species